UACGAAGGGGGCUAGCGUUGUUCGGAUUUACUGGGCGUAAAGCGCACGUAGGCGGAUCUUUAAGUCAGAGGUGAAAUCCCAGGGCUCAACCUUGGAACUGCCUUUGAUACUGGGGAUCUUGAGUCCGGGAGAGGUGAGUGGAAUUGCGAGUGUAGAGGUGAAAUUCGUAGAUAUUCGCAAGAACACCAGUGGCGAAGGCGGCUCACUGGCCCGGUACUGACGCUGAGGUGCGAAAGCGUGGGGAGCAAACAGG
rnacentral:rRNA from 1 species